UCUGCUUAUUAGGCAUCGCUUUAACCUUCCCCUCGUGUCCCUCAUCCUCCUCUUCCUCAUGGCAAGAGGGAGAGUUUAGGAAGGGGUUGUCUCUGCGUGUAAUGAUGUCAGCAACCGCCUCCUUCUCACUGUCCAACCACAGAGCCAGUACAGCAGCAUCACAUGUCACACAUCAAAGUGGAGCGCAACACAUCAAACCACAAGUGACCGCAACAGGCAAAGAAACAAGAGUGAGAAGAACGUUUAGAGGGAGUUGUCUCGAGUGUGCCGUGGUGGAGAAAGGGACUCACUCCUCUCAGAGUCCCAGCAGUCAUAACCGCUGUCUCUAACACCGUGCUUCUGUGAACUGUCCCCUCCUUCUUCGCUCUCCUACAUGCACAUCAGGCACACAAGUGUUGUUGUGUAACAAAAACAAACCCAUCUCCUGUUUCCCAUCUCGGACACCCCAACAAAGACAGGAAACUAACAGGUCCAUCCCCCACACCAUCUGCCCUUUCUGUACCUCGCAGUGA